rnacentral:rRNA from 1 species
UGAGGAAUAUUGGUCAAUGGGCGCAAGCCUGAACCAGCCAUCCCGCGUGCAGGAAGACGGCCCUAUGGGUUGUAAACUGCUUUUCCAAGGGGAGAAUUUUUCUGUCGUGACAGGAAUUGACGGUACCCUGGGAAUAAGCAUCGGCUAACUCCGUGCCAGCAGCCGCGGUAAUACGGAGGAUGCGAGCGUUAUCCGGAUUUAUUGGGUUUAAAGGGUGCGUAGGCGGAUAGAUAAGUCAGUGGUGAAAACCUGCAGCUUAACUGUAGACUUGCCGUUGAUACUGUCAGUCUUGAGUAUGGUCAAGGUAGGCGGAAUGUGUAAUGUAGCGGUGAAAUGCUUAGAUAUUACACAGAACACCGAUUGCGAAGGCAGCUUGCUGGGCCAUUACUGACGCUAAAGCACGAAAGUGUGGGGAGCGAACA